AGCAAUCUCGGGAGCAAUUUUCCUCGCCUAGAACACCGCCCUCGGGAAGCUGGCGGGGAUCGGCUGCGGUGUGGCGCCAGGUGAAGGACAGCCCUCGAGUCCCAGCUUCGGAGCUGGGUGGUGAGCCAGAGAGAAAUGUGCCCGCUGAGCAGUCAUCGCCGGCCUGUAAUGGACGCUGAACAAAAGAGAGGCAGGCAUCAGCAUCGCUUUGCUGUGCGGGCUUUCCAUUUGGCUAAGGAGCGUGAAGGACGCCGGAAACAGAGCUCCGGGACUUUCGGUGCAGACGGCCGCUCGGAGCCGGGCAGUCUUUGUCUCCAACGAGAUUUCUUUUCACAAUCGCGGCUCUGCCUGGGGGGCGGGGUGCUGAAUCCAAGGCCACAGUUUCUCCCUCCUGCUAAAGAGAAGGAAGAGGGCAGGGCUGUCUUGUGCUGGAGCUGGGGACCCAAGCGCACUUCCACGGAGGAGUCUGAAGUCAGAUCUUAGGAAGGACUUCCAGGCCAGAAGGAUAGCCCUUACUCUGGAUUUUGAUUAGCAGCUUUUCAAUGAAACCCAGAAAGCUGUUGUUUGGGAUAAAUUUGAAGAUUCUUAGGCUGGAGGGUCUAAGAAUGAUCGGAAGAUUGGGACAGGGUACAUCCCCCACAGGGUUGUGUUUCCUGGCUCCCAAAUGGCUGUGCCUUUCAGCCACUCAGCUGCACCCCAUGCUGUGCCAUUCAUUCACUGAUUGUGUUUAAAAUGGGGCUCCACCAGUGUGAAGCUGGGUGUGGUAUUAACCUCUCAGACUCCAUUGCCUCAUCCCUAAAAUGGGCUUGAUAAUGUCUUCCUCACAGGCGGAGGGACAACAGUGAGUUAAUAUAUGUAAAACAGCCAGCAUACAUGGCCACUGCAUCGGACAGGGUGCCUUCAGCUGCAAGGAAUUGAAGACCCCGCUAAAAGUGUCUUCACAAAAGGGGGCUAUGUUUCAGAAGAGAACUCUUGAGGCAGGCUCAUUCCCAGAGCUGGAGGGUCUAACAUCUAUCUCUCUGCUCCACUAUCCUCGGCUUGUUUGGGGGUGACACGCCUCAUGGUCUACAGACAACUAAAGCCGUUCCAGGCAUCACAUGUUCAGUUUAAAGAAAUUGACGCCUCCUGCUCUAGUGGAUUUUACUUCCGGUCCCAUUGUCUAGUACAGAGUCAUGUGACUGUGCUCCACCAAUCUUUGGUAAGGGAUAUGAGACCAUCAUGGUUGGCUUAGAUCAAGCAUAAUUCACCAUCCCCACAGGACUGGGAGGGAGUCCUCUUCCCUGAUCACCCUGGAGGGCAAACGCAAGAACAAAAUUUGAGCCUGGCCAUCGAGGAAGAUGCAAAGAACUUGAGGGCACAGAAGGAGAGAACAGUUCCUUGGAACUGAGCGAGCGAGUGUAAUUAUGUGCAUUGCUGGAGUUCCAGGUCUUUCCUCCAGAGGACAUCUCCCCCCAAAGUUGCUGACGUCUGGUCCUUACGGGAUUUCGGGAGGUUGGAGCAAGAUGCAUUUGGAAAAUUCUCCUGGGAGAAGCAGUUUUCAGCCUGUAGCACAGAUACCCCUGGCCUCGCCUCCUCUGACCUCUCAUCCCCAGCCCCAUCAAAGCUGCAGGAAACAAAAGGAGACAACCAU